rnacentral:lncRNA from 1 species
GAGAGAGAGAGAGAGAGAGAGAGAGAGAGAGAGAAUAAUAGUAGAAUAAAUAAUGGCUCUGGGGAAAAAAAGAAAGAAAUGAAUUUGAUAAUUGCAAAUUGAAAUGAAAUGAGAUGUGAUUUUAACAACUAUCUCUAGUUCUACUAGUAGCAGGAGCAAAGACAAAAGAGUUGGUAUUUAUUUUUAUUUUCAAGUAAAAGUAAAACGACUUUUUUGCCAAUUUUAAUCUCGUUUUAUUGGCGCCUAACUCCCCCCUUCCCUCUUCUUUUAAACCUUUUAAUUUUUUUUUCUUCUCCAAAAAUAUUUUCCAUCUGAAAUCCUUUUAAGAAAACUAUUAAAUUAUAUAAUUUAAUAUUGUAAUGUUCAAGUCCAAGAUCUUAGAAUAAGAUCAAUAUUCUUUCUUUUCCUCCUAAAUUUCUA